ACAAACUUGGUCAUUUAGAGGAAGUAAAAGUCGUAACAAGGUCUCCGUAGGUGAACCUGCGGAGGGAUCAUUACCGAGUGAGGGAGCGAUCCCGACCUCCAACCCUUUGUGAACGCAUCAUGUUGCUUUGGGGGCGACCCUGCCGUUCGCGGCAUUCCCCCCGAAGGUCAUCAAAACACUGCAUCCUUACGUCGGAGUAAAAAGUUAAUUUAAUAAAACUUUCAACAACGGAUCUCUUGGUUCUGGCAUCGAUGAAGAACGCAGC
rnacentral:misc_RNA from 1 species